UACGUAGGGUGCGAGCGUUAAUCGGAAUUACUGGGCGUAAAGCGUGCGCAGGCGGUUUGUUAAGACAGAUGUGAAAUCCCCGGGCUUAACCUGGGAACUGCAUUUGUGACUGGCAAGCUAGAGUAUGGCAGAGGGGGGUAGAAUUCCACGUGUAGCAGUGAAAUGCGUAGAGAUGUGGAGGAAUACCGAUGGCGAAGGCAGCCCCCCUGGGCCCAAUACUGACGCUCAUGCACGAAAGCGU
rnacentral:rRNA from 1 species